AGGAUAUCAGCAGUUGAGCUUCCGGGGUGAGAUAUUAAUGACCCCUCCAUUGUCAUGCAGGGGAGCCGGGCUGAGCAGCCACCGCUUCUCAGCCGGGAGAGAGACAACGCCCCUCUGUGCCCAGCCGGGGAGACUUUCUCCUGUGGCUGGAACCAGCCCCAGGUUCUGCCGAUACCAGCCCCUGAGCCACAGACGCCAGGCUGAAGAACCACAUCUGGUCCAUUCCAGACUGCACUACCCUCCCGGGGCAUGGGGCAGGGACAGGGACAUGGCUGGAGCAGAGUUGGCUCAGGAGCCGGUGACCUUCGAGGAGGUGGCUGUGUAUUUCACCAAGGAGCAGUGGGCUCUGCUGGUCCCAGGUCAGAGAGCCCUCUACAGGGACGUCAUGCAGGAGAAUUAUGAGGCUGUGGCCUCACUGGGGUUUCCCGUUCCCAAAUCCCUCGUGAUCUCCCAGCUGGAAGGAGGGGAGGAGCCAUGGGUCCCAGAUCCACAGGGCUCUGAGGACAGGGAGGUCCCAAGAUGCAGCCACAGAGCUGCCAAGGGGAUGGUGAGGGAGGAGGAGGAGAGGCCGCAGCAGGACACCCCUGAGCAGCUGCAAAGUCCUGAUCAGGGAGCAGCCUGUGUGACUGAGGGCGGUUCAGGAAGGCAGCAGAGAAACUCGCCCUCGGAGUCGGAGUGUGAGCGAGGCACUGGGCCGCACCCCGCCCGGGACCCAUCCCCUCCCUGUGGUGGAGCCGUGGAGAGUCCGGGCCAGGCCAGGGAGCGGCCUAACAUAUGCAGCGAGUGCGGGAAAGGCUUCCGGCGCGGCUCAGACCUCACUAAGCACCGCCGGUCCCACGGCGAGCGUCCCCACCAGUGUCCCGAGUGCGGGAAAGGCUUCCCUGUCCGCUCGGCCCUGGCCACCCACCGGCGCAUCCACACGGGGGAGCGCCCCUACGCCUGCGACGCCUGUGGGAAGCGCUUCGGACAGAGCUCCCACCUCAUGCAGCACCUGCGCUCCCACACAGGGGAGAAGCCCCACCGGUGCCCUGAGUGUGGGAAGAGCUUCCGGGAGGGCUCCACGCUGGCCCGGCACCGCCGCACCCACCGCCAGGAGAAGCCCCACACCUGCCCCCACUGCGGGAAGGGUUUCCACGAGCGGUCCAACUUCGCCCGGCACCAGCGCACCCACGCCGGGGAGCUACUUCCUGCCCCAGAGGAGGAGGGGAAGUCCUUCAUCUGCCCCGAGUGCGGGAAGGGCUUUGGCCGCAACGCCUACCUGACCCUGCACCGGCGCGUGCACACAGGAGAGAGGCCCUAUGCCUGCGCCGACUGCGGGAAGAGCUUCAGCGCCAGCUCCAACCUGACCCGACACCAGCGCGUCCACACAGGCGAGAGACCCUACCCCUGCGCCCGCUGUGGGAAACGCUUCUCCCAGAGCUCCACCCUCUUUGUGCACCUGCGCACCCACACCGGGGAGGCACCCUACCGCUGCGCUGCCUGCGGGAGGGGCUUCAGCCAGAACUCCACCCUCCUGACGCACCAGCGCACCCAUAGGGGUGGGAAACCCUGCCGCCAGCCCCCGGGAGCCUGUGCCAGGGACGGGCCCUACCUGGGCAAGUGCUGUGUCAGUGACCCGCUGCUCCAGAGGCACCAGAAGACACACCUGUGAUGGGGGACCUGACCCCACCCAGAGGCAUAGGUAGAGCGCAGCCCGGAGGACUAGCCCGGGGUCAGUUUCUUGCUCUGCCACAAUCACGCCCAGAUCGUCAAAGGGCAUGACUGUGCCUGAGCACGAGGGACAAGCACCUGAGGCCCCAGAGCGGCUGGGAGUCCAGCACCAAGACUGAGCAAGUGAGGGGAAGGAAGCCCAGCAGAUGGACCAUGGGCUGCAGGUAUAAUAGGCCAGGGGAGGCUAAGCCUUCCCAAACAGGAUGCUGUGCACUUUCAUUUGGAGGCAUUUGAGUGGAUGCCUGGGCCGUGGCCAUGCCUGUGCUCCAUCCCAAAGCCCCACUCCCGCUCUUCCCCCCGUGCUGCCUCCCCCACUAUGCUCCUCUUCCUACCCCCACUCCACCUUUCCCCCCUCCCAAGACCAGCCCUCAGUCUGCAUCUUCCCAUCCCUGCCCCUUCCCGUAAGGCCCCACCAUCCGCUGAGUCACUCCCCUCCUCCACCCACCUCCCUGCGAGGCCCCCACCUCCUCGUGGGAGUAUAACAUUUUUCACACAACAGUUGUACUAGUUUAAAGGUUGUCUACAUGGGGAAAUUUUUACAAGCGUAGCUGCAUAAAUAUACUGAUAUAGCUCUGCUGGUAUAACGCCCUUAAACUAAGGACUGGGGGAAAGGCGACAGAUGUUAAAGAGCACAUGGGUUGGACAGAGAGAGCCUUAGGGGAGGAUUUAUCAAAGGGGCUCCUCUAAAUCCUAGUAAAGAGGAGAGGAUAAAAAUUGCUGAAGUAUGGGUAGGAGCUGAAGAGAAAAAGUCAAUCGAAAAAGAGUCCCAUUCAAUUAGAUCACAUGAAGGCAGACAACUAAUUAUUGACAAAUAUUAUAAGUGCUUGUAUGCAAAUACUAGAGUCUAAAUUCCAAGAUGGGUGAAUUUGAGUGCCUGGUGUUAAAUGAGGACCUUGAUAUAAUAGACAUCACAGAAAUUUGGUGUAAUGAUGAUCAUCAAAGUGACAUGGUAAUACCAGGGUACAAAAUAUAUGGGAGUGACAGAGUAGUUCAUGCAGGUGGGAGAGUGACAAUAUAUGUAGAAGAAAGCAUAGAGUCAAAUAUAGUAAAAAAUCUUAAAUGAAACAAACAGUGUCAUAGAAUCUCUAUGGAUCAUAAUUCCAUGUUUGAAUAAUAAGUAUAGUCGUAGGAACAUUCUACUGACCACUUGACCAGGAUGAUAAUGGUGAUGGUGAAAUGCUCAGGGAGAUCAGAAAGGCUACAAAAAACAAUAAUAAUGUGUGAUUUAAACUAUUCCUAUAUCGACUGGGUACAUGUCACCCCAGGACAGGAUGCAGAAAUAAAGUUUCUUGAUACCUUAAUUGACCGCUUCUUGCAACAGCUAGUCCUGGAACCCACAAAGGGAGAGGCAAUUCUUGAUUUGGUCAAGUGGAGCACAGGAUCUGUCCAAGAGGUGAAUAUAGCUGGAGUGCAUGGUAAUAGUGACCAGAAUGUAGUUAAAUUUAACAUCCGGGGUGGGGGGGGGAGGGGUACCAAUGUAAGCCACCAGAGUAGAAUUUAACUUCAAAUAGGGGGACUACACAAAAAUGAGGAAGUUAGUUAAGCAGAAAUUAAAAGGAACAGUCACAAGAGUGAAGUGUCUACAAACUGCAUGGAAACUAUUUUAAAAGACCAUAAUUGAGGCUCAAACUAAAU